AUUGAACGCUGGCGGCAUGCUUUACACAUGCAAGUCGAACGGUAACAGGUUAAGCUGACGAGUGGCGAACGGGUGAGUAAUGCAUCGGAACGUGCCCGGUCGUGGGGGAUAACGCAGCGAAAGCUGCGCUAAUACCGCAUACGAUCUGAGGAUGAAAGCGGGGGACCGUAAGGCCUCGUGCGAUCGGAGCGGCCGAUGUCAGAUUAGGUAGUUGGUGGGGGUAAAGGCUCACCAAGCCAACGAUCUGUAGCUGGUCUGAGAGGACGACCAGCCACACUGGGACUGAGACACGGCCCAGACUCCUACGGGAGGCAGCAGUGGGGAAUUUUGGACAAUGGGCGAAAGCCUGAUCCAGCAAUGCCGCGUGCAGGAAGAAGGCCUUCGGGUUGUAAACUGCUUUUGUACGGAGCGAAAAGGUCUCCUCUAAUACAGGGGGCUCAUGACGGUACCGUAAGAAUAAGCACCGGCUAACUACGUGCCAGCCGCCGCCGUAA
rnacentral:rRNA from 1 species